rnacentral:rRNA from 1 species
GGGAUAACUAUUGGAAACGAUAGCUAAUACCGCAUAAGAGUAGAUGUUGCAUGACAUUUGCUUAAAAGGUGCAAUUGCAUCACCACCAGAUGGACCUGCGUUGUAUUAGCUAGUUGGUGGGGUAACGGCUCACCAAGGCGACGAUACAUAGCCGACCUGAGAGGGUGAUCGGCCACACUGGGACUGAGACACGGCCCAG